UACGUAGGGUGCGAGCGUUAAUCGGAAUUACUGGGCGUAAAGCGUGCGCAGGCGGUUCUGCAAGUCCGAUGUGAAAGCCCCGGGCUCAACCUGGGAAUUGCAUUUGAAACUACAGGGCUAGAGUGUGUCAGAGGGGGGUAGAAUUCCACGUGUAGCAGUGAAAUGCGUAGAGAUGUGGAGGAAUACCGAUGGCGAAGGCAGCCCCCUGGGAUAACACUGACGCUCAUGCACGAAAGCGUGGGGAGCAAACAGG
rnacentral:rRNA from 1 species